GUGGGGAAUAUUGGGCAAUGGGCGAAAGCCUGACCCAGCAACGCCGCGUGAAGGAAGAAGGUCUUCGGAUUGUAACCUUCUUUUAUGAGGGACGAAGGACGUGACGGUACCUCAUGAAUAAGCCACGGCUAACUACGUUCCAGCAGCCGCGGUAAUACGUAGGUGGCAAGCGUUAUCCGGAUUUACUGGGUGUAAAGGGCGCGUAGGCGGGGAUGCAAGUCAGAUGUGAAAUCUAUGGGCUUAACUCAUAAACUGCAUUUGAAACUGUAUCUCUUGAGUGCUGGAGAGGUAGAUGGAAUUCCUUGUGUAGCGGUGAAAUGCGUAGAUAUAAGGAAGAACACCAGUGGCGAAGGCGAUCUACUGGACAGUAACUGACGCUGAGGCGCGAAAGCGUGGGGAGCAAACAGG
rnacentral:rRNA from 1 species